AAAAAAAAAAUUGUGAUUCCCGAAUGGGACAAAGGGGAUUAGGUUAGUUAGGCUGCCUGGCACUAAUCAUUACUAGUACUAAUGUUUAAAAAAAAAAAUGAAUAUUUUAUUGGUCUAGUAAUGUUAGACGACUUGUUCGGACGGUGCUAG